UGAAGGUUCUGAAGGAUGGGCUCUCAACUUUACAUGUGCCGUAUUCUUAUGGUUUUGCAAUCAUUCUACUAACAAUACUAGUAAAAGCUGCAACUUUUCCUCUAACCAAAAAACAGGUAGAAUCAUCACUGGCAACGCGAUCUAUGGCACCACAAAUAAAGGCUAUUCAGGAGCGAUAUGCUGGAGACCAGGAGAGGAUCCAACUUGAAACUGCUCGUCUUUAUAAACUAGCUGGCGUGAAUCCACUGGCAGGAUGUCUGCCAACUCUUGCCACUAUACCUAUAUGGAUUGGUCUUUAUAGGGCCCUCUCAAAUGUGGCAAAUGAGGGACUUCUGACAGAAGGCUUCUUCUGGAUACCCUCGCUAGCUGGUCCAACAACAGUUGCUGCCCGUCAAACUGGAAGUGGCACCUCUUGGCUUUUCCCUUUUGUAGAUGGUCAUCCUCCGCUUGGUUGGUCUGAUACUUUUGCGUAUCUUGUCUUGCCUGUAUUGUUGGUUGUCUCCCAGUACAUCUCUAUUCAAAUCAUGCAACCAUCUCAACAGAGUGAUGAUCCAAAUGUGAAGAACUCUCAAGCGAUAACUAAGUUUCUCCCUCUAAUGCUUGGUUACUUUUCG
rnacentral:misc_RNA from 1 species